rnacentral:rRNA from 1 species
AUUGAACGCUGGCGGCAUGCUUUACACAUGCAAGUCGAACGGCAGCGCGGGCUUCGGCCUGGCGGCGAGUGGCGAACAGGGGAGUAAUGCAUCGGAACGUGCCCAGUAGUGGGGGAUAGCCCGGCGAAAGCCGGAUUAAUACCGCAUACGACCUGAGGGUGAAAGCGGGGGACCGAAAGGACUCGCGCUAUUGGAGCGGCCGAUGUCGGAUUAGCUAGUUGGUGGGGUAAAGGCUUACCAAGGCGACGAUCCGUAGCUGGUCUGAGAGGACGAGCAGCCACACGGGGAGUGAGACACGGCCCAUACGCCUACGGGAGGCAGCAGUGGCGAAUGUUGGACAAUGGGGGCAACCCUGAUCCAGCCAUGCCGCGUGCGGUAUGAAGGCCUCCGGGUUGUAAAGCGCGUUUGUUCGGGAAGAACUCCUCUGGGCUAAUACCCCGGGGGGAUGACGGUACCGGAUGAAUAAGCACCGGCUAACUACGUG